rnacentral:rRNA from 1 species
GACGAACGCUGGCGGCGUGCUUAACACAUGCAAGUCGAACGGAAAGGCCCUGCUUUUGUGGGGUGCUCGAGUGGCGAACGGGUGAGUAACACGUGAGUAACCUGCCCUUGACUUUGGGAUAACUUCAGGAAACUGGGGCUAAUACCGGAUAGGAGCUCCUGCUGCAUGGUGGGGGUUGGAAAGUUUCGGCGGUUGGGGAUGGACUCGCGGCUUAUCAGCUUGUUGGUGGGGUAGUGGCUUACCAAGGCUUUGACGGGUAGCCGGCCUGAGAGGGUGACCGGCCACAUUGGGACUGGGAUACGGCCCAGACUCCUACGGGAGGCAGCAGUGGGGAAUAUUGUACAAUGGGCGGAAGCCUGAUGCAGCAACGCCGCGUGCGGGAUGACGGCCUUCGGGUUGUAAACCGCUUUCGUCUGUGCCGAAGCGUGAGUGACGGUAAUGGGUAAAGAAGCACCGGCUAACUACGUG